rnacentral:rRNA from 1 species
AUUGAACGCUGGCGGCAGGCUUAACACAUGCAAGUCGAGCGGGGUGAUGGUGCUUGCACUAUCACUUAGCGGCGGACGGGUGAGUAAUGCUUAGGAAUCUGCGUAUUAGUGGGGGACACCAUCUCGAAAGGGAUGCUAAUACCGCAUACGUCCUACGGGAGAAAGCAGGGGAUCACUUGUGACCUUGCGCUAAUAGAUGAGCCUAAGUCGGAUUAGCUAGUUGGUGGGGUAAAGGCCUACCAAGGCGACGAUCUGUAGCGGGUCUGAGAGGAUGAUCCGCCACACUGGGCCUGCUACACGGCCCAGACUCCUACGGGAGGCAGCAGUGGGGAAUAUUGGACAAUGGGGGGAACCCUGAUCCAGCCAUGCCGCGUGUGUGAAGAAGGCUUUAUGGUUGUAAAUCACUUUAAGCGAGGAGGAGGCUCUUUUGGUUAAUACCCAAGAUGAGUGGACGUUACUCGCAGAAUAAGCACCGGCUAACUCUGUGCCAGCAGCCGCGGUAA